AAACGGGUGCGGAACACGUACACAACUUUCCUUUAAGUGGGGGAUAGCCCAGAGAAAUUUGGAUUAAUACCCCGUAAUAUUAUGAAGUGGCAUCAUUUUAUAAUUAUAGCUCCGGCGCUUGAAGAUGGGUGUGCGGCUGAUUAGGUAGUUGGCGGGGUAACGGCCCACCAAGCCUACGAUCAGUAACUGGUGUGAGAGCACGACCAGUCACACGGGCACUGAGACACGGCCCAG
rnacentral:rRNA from 1 species